CGGAGAGUUUGAUCCUGGCUCAGGAUGAACGCUGGCGGCGUGCCUAAUACAUGCAAGUCGAACGCUUUGUGGUUCAACUGAUUUGAAGAGCUUGCUCAGAUAUGACGAUGGACAUUGCAAAGAGUGGCGAACGGGUGAGUAACACGUGGGAAACCUACCUCUUAGCAGGGGAUAACAUUUGGAAACAGAUGCUAAUACCGUAUAACAAUAGCAACCGCAUGGUUGCUACUUAAAAGAUGGUUCUGCUAUCACUAAGAGAUGGUCCCGCGGUGCAUUAGUUAGUUGGUGAGGUAAUGGCUCACCAAGACGAUGAUGCAUAGCCGAGUUGAGAGACUGAUCGGCCACAAUGGGACUGAGACACGGCCCAUACUCCUACGGGAGGCAGCAGUAGGGAAUCUUCCACAAUGGGCGAAAGCCUGAUGGAGCAACGCCGCGUGUGUGAUGAAGGGUUUCGGCUCGUAAAACACUGUUGUAAGAGAAGAAUGACAUUGAGAGUAACUGUUCAAUGUGUGACGGUAUCUUACCAGAAAGGAACGGCUAAAUACGUGCCAGCAGCCGCGGUAAUACGUAUGUUCCAAGCGUUAUCCGGAUUUAUUGGGCGUAAAGCGAGCGCAGACGGUUAUUUAAGUCUGAAGUGAAAGCCCUCAGCUCAACUGAGGAAUUGCUUUGGAAACUGGAUGACUUGAGUGCAGUAGAGGAAAGUGGAACUCCAUGUGUAGCGGUGAAAUGCGUAGAUAUAUGGAAGAACACCAGUGGCGAAGGCGGCUUUCUGGACUGUAACUGACGUUGAGGCUCGAAAGUGUGGGNUAGCAAACAGGAUUAGAUACCCUGGUAGUCCACACCGUAAACGAUGAGUGC
rnacentral:rRNA from 1 species